rnacentral:rRNA from 1 species
UGCUAAUACCGCAUAAGCGCACAGUACCGCAUGGUACCGUGUGAAAAACUCCGGUGGUAUGAGAUGGACCCGCGUCUGAUUAGCUAGUUGGUGGGGUAACGGCCUACCAAGGCGACGAUCAGUAGCCGACCUGAGAGGGUGACCGGCCACAUUGGGACUGAGACACGGCCCAAACUCCUACGGGAGGCAGCAUG